rnacentral:misc_RNA from 1 species
UCUCCGUAGGUGAACCUGCGGAGGGAUCAUUACAGGGUUCGUGCCCUCGCGGGUAGAUCUCCCACCCUGUGUUAUUGCUACCUUUGUUGCUUUGGCGGGCCGCCCUCGGCUACCGGCCCCGGCUGGUACGCGCCCGCCAGAGGACCCCAAACCCUGAACGUCAGUGUCGUCUGAGUACUAUACAAUAGUUAAAACUUUCAACAACGGAUCUCUUGGUUCUG